CUCUGUUUUCAUUGCCCUGUUUUUGUCAUUGCUACGGUUUUGUUUUAUAUUCAUAGUUUUGCUUUUGUUUUUCCAUAGUUCUGUCUAGUUUUGCUAUCGUUCCUUUCCUUGUUUAUUUGUUACUUUUUGGACUGCUCUCUCUGGUUAUUGGACUCUGCCUGCCUUGUCUUCGUCACUCUGUUUGUCUGGAUACUGACCCUGCCUGUCUGACUAUUAAAAGCUCGCACUUGGAUCUUACACGCUUCCUACGAGUCCUGCUUGUUACAUCUAUAUCCUCUAAAAAGACAAACGUGAGAGAGACAAGUGCUUAUACUCAUAAAUCAGGGGCGGGAUCAGGAAAGGUCCUCGAGUCGGGAUUCGCACACAGGACGCCCAGAGUGCAACGGCGCUGUAUGUCGGCGCGCUGCCCAGAAGAUUGUGGUAUCGUCCUCCCGUCCCAGUAUUUUAUAUUUAAUAAAAUGAAUGACUUGAAAACCACAAAAAUACAAUGACUUCACGUUGAAUGUCAACUCCAUCACUGGCACAUCACCACUGUCAGACAGAAAAUCGUACGGUGGUGACAUCUGAAGGUGUUGACAAAUU